GCUUACGGCCACACCGCGUGGUUCACGCCUGAUCUCGGAAGCUAAGAUAGGUUGGGCCUGGUUAGUACUUGGAUGGGAGACCGCCUGGGAAUACCAGGUGCUGUAAGCU
ensembl:rRNA 5S_rRNA 5S ribosomal RNA